CGCCGCCGCCGCCUGCCGGUCCCAACCAGGAGGAGAAAGGAGGGGACCGGAAGGAGCCGCUGGUGCUGCGGGAAGUGGCAGGAGCGGGAGGCGGGGACCCACCUGGAAGCGCCGCCGCGCCGCUGUCGAGCUUCCUGCGGCGGCAGCCAGUCAAGCAAGUGCCGUGGCGGGAGCAGAGAGCGGCCACGGUAGCGGCGCCUCCCGGAGUGGCCCGUCACGCCCGGCCCCGCGCGGAAGAUACCAAGUUGUGCUAGUACAACCAUAUAAAUAA
rnacentral:lncRNA from 1 species